UACGGAGGGGGCUAGCGUUGUUCGGAAUUACUGGGCGUAAAGCGCGCGUAGGCGGAUCUGCAAGUCGGGGGUGAAAUCCCGAGGCUCAACCUUGGAACUGCCUUUGAUACUGGGGAUCUUGAGUCCGGGAGAGGUGAGUGGAACUGCGAGUGUAGAGGUGAAAUUCGUAGAUAUUCGCAAGAACACCAGUGGCGAAGGCGGCUCACUGGCCCGAUACUGACGCUGAGGUGCGAAAGCGUGGGGAGCAAACAGG
rnacentral:rRNA from 1 species